UGGGGAAUUUUGGACAAUGGGCGAAAGCCUGAUCCAGCAAUGCCGCGUGUGUGAAGAAGGCCUUCGGGUUGUAAAGCACUUUUGUCCGGGAAAGAAAUCCUUGGCUCUAAUACAGUCGGGGGAUGACGGUACCGGAAGAAUAAGCACCGGCUAACUACGUGCCAGCAGCCGCGGUAAUACGUAGGGUGCAAGCGUUAAUCGGAUUACUGGGCGUAAAGCGUGCGCAGGCGGUUUGCUAGACCGAUGUGAAAUCCCCGGGCUCAACCUGGGAACUGCAUUGGUGACUGGCAGGCUAGAGUAUGGCAGAGGGGGGUAGAAUUCCACGUGUANCAGUGAAAGUGCGUAGGAGAUGUGGAGGAAUACCGAUGGCGAAGGCAGCCCCCUGGGCCAAAUACUGACGCUCAUGCACGAAAGCCGUGGGGGAGCAAACAGGAUUAGAUACCCUGGUAGUCCGCGCCCUAAACGAUGUCCAACUAGUUGUUGGGGACUUCAUUUCCUUAGUAACGUAGCUAACGCGU
rnacentral:rRNA from 1 species